ACUGACACUGUACACAUGACAGUUUAAGACCUGGUCACAUGUUUGUGCUUGGCAAGGAGGUUUUUGUCAGGAGAUCAUCCUAUCUCUUCUUAUGCAUGCUUAGAACAUGGGAAAAGCAAAGUUGGUGCACCACUGUCCUUUGCUUGUUAAAUUGAGGUUACUUGGCCGUGACUCUGAGCCCAUAGAUGUGCAGUGCAGUAAUCUGGACUUAGACAUUUGGAAGGUGGGAUUUCCCAUAGAGCCUCCAUGACUGGGAAUGGGAAACAGAACCAUGGCUAAGGGGAGGGAUGAGGACAGAGUGCAGGUACCAUUCUGUGCCAUCUAGAGGAUGCAUCUCCCUUUGUUCUCUUACUGCAGUCAGCUUCUAUAGCAUUGACAUGAACUUUUCACUCUUCUACACAACUGAGAGAGCUCCUGAUUACUAUGAUGCAAGGAAGCUUAUAGAAAACUGGUUUAGUGUCAUAUUUGCAGGUGAAGAACUAGUUGUGACAAACUUUAAAAUCAGGGUUAACUCUCCACAAAGCAGUGCGUACAAGAGGACCCGUGUAUGUAACUUGUUA
rnacentral:lncRNA from 1 species